rnacentral:rRNA from 1 species
GACGAACGCUGGCGGCGUGCUUAACACAUGCAAGUCGAGCGGUAAGGCCCUUUCGGGGGUACACGAGCGGCGAACGGGUGAGUAACACGUGGGUGACCUGCCCUCAGCUCUGGGAUAAGCCUGGGAAACCGGGUCUAAUACCGGAUAUGACUCCAUGACGCAUGUUGUGGGGUGGAAAGCCUUGUGCGGCUGAGGAUGGGCCCGCGGCCUAUCAGCUUGUUGGUGGGGUGAUGGCCUACCAAGGCGACGACGGGUAGCCGGCCUGAGAGGCGACCGGCCACACUGGGACUGAGACACGGCCCAGACUCCUACGGGAGGCAGCAGUGGGGAAUCUUGCGCAAUGGGCGAAAGCCUGACGCAGCGACGCCGCGUGAGGGAUGACGGCCUCGGUU